GAUGAACGCUGGCGGCGUGCCUAACACAUGCAAGUCGAACGAUGAAGCCCAGCUUGCUGGGUGGAUUAGUGGCGAACGGGUGAGUAACACGUGAGUAACCUGCCCUUAACUCUGGGAUAAGCCUGGGAAACGGGGCCUAAUACCGGAUAGGAGCGUCCACCGCAGGGUGGGAGCUGGAAAGAUUUAUCGGUUUUGGAUGGACUCGCGGCCUAUCAGCUUGUUGGUGAGGUAAUGGCUCACCAAGGCGACGACGGGUAGCCGGCCUGAGAGGGUGACCGGCCACACUGGGCCUGAGGCACGGCCCAGACUCCUACGGGAGGCAGCAGUGGGGAAUAUUGCACAAUGGGCGCAAGCCUGAUGCAGCGACGCCGCGUGAGGGAUGACGGCCUUCGGGUUGUAAACCUCUUUCAGUAGGGAAGAAGCGAAAGUGACGGUACCUGCAGAAGAAGCACCGGCUAACUACGUG
rnacentral:rRNA from 1 species